GGGGGCGACUUGGCUUCGACGCGGACAGUGAAACCCGAGGUGCAUGCCGAGGAUUGCAGUUUCCUCGUAAAUCCACUGCAAAACCAAUAGUUGCCAACGACGACAACUACCUCCUGGCGGCUUAAACGCCCCAGCCUCUGACCGACUUUGUGCUUGUGCGAUCGGAUUCCAGAGGUCAAAUCACACAAGAUCGCAUCUUCCGAUCGCCUCGCUCGGAGAUGCUAAAACCCCUAGAGGCUCGCCGAUUCGCAGCCUUGCCCGCCGGGUAACGAAUCGGUCAAAUCAAACGACGGGCUAAGCAUGUAGAUCCAAAGGCAGAUCGUUUGCGGACGCGGGUUCAAUUCCCGCCGCCUCCACCA
rnacentral:tmRNA from 1 species